ACGGGAGGCAGCAGUGGGGAAUAUUGGGCAAUGGGCGAAAGCCUGACCCAUGCCACGCCGCGUGAGUGAUGAAGGCCUUCGGGUUGUAAAGCUCUUUUGUCAGGGAAGAAACGGUGAGAGCUAAUAUCUCUUGCUAAUGACGGUACCUGAAGAAUAAGCACCGGCUAACUACGUGCCAGCACCCGCGGUAAUAA
rnacentral:rRNA from 1 species